UAGGGAAUCUUCGGCAAUGGACGAAAGUCUGACCGAGCAACGCCGCGUGAGUGAAGAAGGUUUUCGGAUCGUAAAACUCUGUUGUUAGAGAAGAACAAGGACGUUAGUAACUGAACGUCCCCUGACGGUAUCUAACCAGAAAGCCACGGCUAACUACGUGCCAGCAGCCGCGGUAAUACGUAGGUGGCAAGCGUUGUCCGGAUUUAUUGGGCGUAAAGCGAGCGCAGGCGGUUUCUUAAGUCUGAUGUGAAAGACCCCGGCGCAACCGGGGAGGGUCAUUGGAAACUGGGAGACUUGAGUGCAGAAGAGGAGAGUGGAAUUCCAUGUGUAGCGGUGAAAUGCGUAGAUAUAUGGAGGAACACCAGUGGCGAAGGCGGCUCUCUUGUCUGUAACUGACGCUGAGGCUCGAAAGCGUGGGGAGCAAACAGG
rnacentral:rRNA from 1 species